rnacentral:rRNA from 1 species
AGCAGCCGCGGUAAUUCCAGCUCCAAUAGCGUAUAUUAAGGUUGUUGCAGUUAAAAAGCUCGUAGUUGAAUUUCGGGGUCAGUAGGUUGGUCGUGCCACAGGUAUGAACUGGCCUCACUGAUUCCUCCUUCCUGAUGAACCGUAAUGCCAUUAAUUUGGUGUUGCGGGGAGACUGGACUGUUACUUUGAAAAAAUUAGAGUGUUUAAAGCAGGCUAACGCUUGAAUACAUUAGCAUGGAAUAAUGAAAUAGGACGUUCGGUCUUAUUUUGUUGGUUUCUAAGAUUGACGUAAUGAUUAAUAGGGAUAGUUGGGGGCAUUAGUAUUCAAUUGUCAGAGGUGAAAUUCUUGGAUUUAU